rnacentral:rRNA from 1 species
CCUACGGGAGGCAGCAGUGAGGAAUAUUGGUCAAUGGACGAGAGCCUGAACCAGCCAAGUCGCGUGAGGGAGUACUGCCCUAUGGGUUGUAAACCGCUUUUGUCGGGGAGCAAAAGCCGGACGUGUCCUGCUGUUAGAAUACCCGAAUGAAAAGCAUCGGCUAACUCCGUGCCAGCAGCCGCGGUAAUACGGAGGGUCCGGGCGUUUUCCGGAUUUAUUGGGUUUAAAGGGUGCGUAGGCGGUCUUUUAAGUCAGAGGUGAAAGUCUGUGGCUCAACCAUAGAAUUGCCGUUGAAACUGGGAGGCUUGAGUAUGUUUGAGGUAGGCGGAAUGUGUGGUGUAGCGGUGAAAUGCUUAGAUAUCACGCAGAACACCGAUUGCGAAGGCAGCUUGCCAAGCUAUGACUGACGUUGAGGCACGAAAGCGUGGGGAUCAAACAGGAUUAGAUACCCUAGUAGUC